rnacentral:rRNA from 1 species
UACAGAGGCCUCAAGCGUUAGGCGGAAUCACUGGGCUUAAAGCGCGUGUAGGUGGACUUUUAAGUGCUUUGUGAAAUCCCUCGGCUCAACCGAGGAACGUCGAUCGAUACUACCGUUCUUGAGGAUUGCAGAGGAGACUGGAAUUCCCGGUGUAGCGGUGAAAUGAUGUAGAGAUCGGGAGGAACACCGGUGGCGAAGGCGGGUCUCUGGGCAAUUCCUGACGCUGAGGCGCGAAAGCGUGGGGAGCAAACGGG